rnacentral:lncRNA from 1 species
UCGAUGUAUUGCUGCUUCACCAUACUAACGUCGGAUUACGAAGCAUAUCCAACAUCAAUCAUCCAAAGCGUACAGACAUGAUGCCAAAUUUAGUUACUCGUUUAUUAUUUAAUUUAUUCUGUAUUUUAAUCGUAUUAAUACAGAAAAUACAUAAAAUAAACAGCAAGAUUAGAAAGAGAAAUUAAAAUGCUAAAAAACAAUUAACAAAAAUAAAAUGCUAAAAAACAAUUAACAAAAAUAAAAUGCUAAAAAAA